AGUGAACGCUGGCGGUAGGCCGAACACAGGCAAGGCGAACGGCAGCACAGGAAGAGCGGGCUCGGACGGGGGGCGAGGGGCGGACGGGGGAGGAAGACAGCGGAAGCUACUUGGGCGGGGGGGAGAACGUAGGGAAACGGACGCUAAUACCGCAUACGACCUACGGGUGAAAGCAGGGGAUCUUCGGACCUUGCGCGAUUGAAUGAGCCGAUGUCGGAUUAGCUAGUUGGCGGGGUAAAGGCCCACCAAGGCGACGAUCCGUAGCUGGUCUGAGAGGAUGCUCCGCCCCACUGGCACUGAGACCCGGUCCAGACUCCUACGGGAGGCAGCAGUGGGGAAUAUUGGACAAUGGGCGCAAGCCUGAUCCAGCCAUACCGCGUGGGUGAAGAAGGCCUUCGGGUUGUAAAGCCCUUUUGUUGGGAAAGAAAAGCAGCAGGUUAAUACCCCGCUGUUCUGACGGUACCCAAAGAAUAAGCACCGGCUAACUUCGUG
rnacentral:rRNA from 1 species